UGCAAAGCAUUGACACGGCCCAGAGAGGAGAGGGGGCGCCCUCCUUCUCCCGCGCCCGGCGGCCCGGCAGCUCUGGCCCGCGCCCCAGCUUGGCCUCCGACCCCGCUCCCGGCCGUGGCGCCGCCCGGGCCCCUGCACUCCGGAGGGAGGCUGCGGGUGCUGGAAAGAGAGGCCGGUGGGCGGGCGAGUCGGGAGGCGCUGGCUGCCGAGGUCCCGGAGCGGAACCCAGGUGGCGGGAGCUGGUGAGAUUCUGGGAAUUGGAAGAACCCAAACAAUCUGCCUUGGAUGACACAGAGAGCCAGGUUCAUACAGGUGAGAAGAGAAGAAUCAUUUUGCAGCUAGGCUAACCAUUCAGGAUGCUUGGCCUGCUUCUGAGGGUGGAGAGGAAGUUUACACACAGCCCUCUGUCAUAGGAUUCCUAUGGUAAGGCUCAGAAGACACUGCAAGACAAACAGUAUCCUCGGAAACCUAACAACUCCUUGAAUGGAAAAAUGUCAUGGAACUGUAUCUCUCAAGACAGGCCCUUCCAAAGAAGUUGCUCGGCAGAGACUUGGCCUCAGUGCCCGCGAGGAGCGAGAUGAAAACCAGCACAGUUUGGACAGUGCGGGACCCCCACUGGAGCUGGGGUGCCUGGGGAUGCUUUCCAUCGGGCGUGGAGGUUGAGGGUAGCUGUGGAACCAUCUGUGAAGGUCCUCAGUGAAUAGACCAACACACUUCAGAAAUAUCAUCAUGGCUGCCUGCGGUGGGCACAGAAGUGGCAUCAAAGCGUGGACUGGUGAUCCACCUUGCUGAAAGCUUGGCUAGUGCUUUGCUUGGGUCCCUUGUCCUACAGGGACCUCCUUGACUUCUGGCCUCAUUUCCUGGCCUGGCAGCCCAUGGGGGAGGGGGUGGGGCUCAGCUUGGUAUCACUUGAAUUUAUCACACAAGGUGUGUUUGGGGCUUGUUCUGCACCUGAAACAGUGGGGUGCCCGGGAACUGUCAUUUCCUGCCUUGACAUGUCCAAGUAUUUGUUUAGCCCUGGCUGGUGGCAUUGACUAGCAGCCCAGGCAUGGAAACAAAGGCGGAUGUAGGGAAAAGUUGAGCCGCUGCAGGAACACACACGGGAGAGCACUGAGGCGUAGAAACCUUCACAAUGAAAAUAAUCCCUUACACUCACACUGCCUUACCCUUUACAAGGUGCUUUCACAGGCCUUUCUCCCCUUAAUCCUCACAACACCCCUAGGGAGGAAGGCAAGGCAACUAUUACUAGUCCCCAUUUCACAGCUGACGAAAUAAGUGCAGGGAGUUAAGUGGGGGGCAGAGCGUAGACCAGGGAACCCCAUCCUGUGCUCCACACCUGUGCUACUCAAAGUGCGGGCCCCCAACCAGCAGCAGCAGGAAGCCCGUUAGAAAUGGAGGCUCUCAGGCCCCACCCGAGACAUGAAUGAAUCAGGAUCUGCGUUGAAGUCGGAACCCCAGGGGAUCCGUGUGCACAAUAAAGCUGGAGACUGCUGCUGACACCGCCCGCCCCUCCCC